rnacentral:rRNA from 1 species
GACGAACGCUGGCGGCGUGCUUAACACAUGCAAGUCGAACGGAAAGGCCCUGCUUUUGUGGUGUGCUCGAGUGGCGAACGGGUGAGUAACACGUGAGUAACCUGCCCUUGACUUUGGGAUAACUUCAGGAAACUGGGGCUAAUACCGGAUAGGAUCUCCUGCUGCAUGGUGGGGGUUGGAAAGUUUCGGCGGUUGUGGAUGGACUCGCAGCUUAUCAGCUUGUUGGUGGGGUAGUGGCUUACCAAGGCUUUGACGGGUAGCCGGCCUGAGAGGGUGACCGGCCACAUUGGGACUGAGAGACGGACCAGACUCCUACGGGAGGCAGCAGUGGGGAAUAUUGCACAAUGGGCGGAAGCCUGAUGCAGCAACGCCGCGUGCGGGAUGACGGCCUUCGGGUUGUAAACAGAUUUCGCCUGUGACGAAGCGUGAGUGACGGUAAUGGGUAAAGAAGCACCGGCUAACUACGUG